CUCCAUGAAUCCAUGGGACCUGCAUCUUGUGGCAGAUUCCCUUCCUAGCCAUGGAAAAUAAAUGCCUUUGUUCCUACUUAAGCUGCUGCCAUGCCUGGUUUGCAGACUAUCUGGAACUGAAUAACAC